AAAUUAAUCAAAAGAGAUGGAGAAGGACAUUUUAUUGUCAUGGAAAUGGAAAAAUCCACCAAGACAGUGUGUCAAUUCUUAACAUCUAUGUCCCAAAUGAAAGGGCACCCAUGUUUGAACCUCACACAAUAAUAGAGACUACAACAUCCCACUCUCACCAAUGGACAGGCAAUCCAGACAAAAACAAAACAGAGAAAUAAUGGAGCUAACAGACGUUAUGAACCAAAUGGACCUAACAGAUAACCACAGAACAUUUCACCCAAACACAAAAGAAUACCUUCUUCACUCAGCACCUUAUGGGAGAGAUUCAAAGCAAGUCUCAACAGACACAGGAAAAUUGAGAUAAUACCUUGUAUCUGAUCUGACCACCAUGGAUUAAAGCUGGACUUCCACAACAGAAACAUCAGAGAGCCUACACACUCAUGGAAACUGAACAGCUCUCUAGGGUCAAAGAAACACAAAAAAAGCAGUGUUAAGAGGAAAA
rnacentral:lncRNA from 1 species